UUCCAGCUUUCGGGUACGCUCACUUCAAUUUUCCUUUCCAAGACCACCUUGUUCUUUGCAUCUCGUUGCGUGUCCUCUUGGAGCUUGUCUAUCUG
rnacentral:lncRNA from 1 species